rnacentral:rRNA from 1 species
CCUACGGGUGGCAGCAGUGAGGAAUAUUGGUCAAUGGACGCGAGCCUGAACCAGCCAAGUAGCGUGAAGGAUGACUGCCCUACGGGUUGUAACCUUCUUUUAUAAAGGAAUAAAGUGAGACACGUGUGCCUUUUUGUAUGUACUUUAUGAAUAAGGAUCGGCUAACUCCGUGCCAGCAGCCGCGGUAAUACGGAGGAUCCGAGCGUUAUCCGGAUUUAUUGGGUUUAAAGGGAGCGUAGAUGGGUUGUUAAGUCAGGUGUGAAAGUUUGCGGCUCAACCGUAAAAUUGCAAUUGAUACUGGCAUGCUUGAGUACAGUUGAGGUAGGCGGAAUUCGUGGUGUAGCGGUGAAAUGCUUAGAUAUCACGAAGAACUCCGAUUGCGAAGGCAGCUUACUAAACUGCAACUGACAUUGAGGCUCGAAAGUGUGGGUAUCAAACAGGAUUAGAUACCCGUGUAGUC